GGGGGGGGGGGGGGGGGGGGGGGGGGCGGGGGGGGCGGGGGAGGGGAGGAGGAGGGGGCGCCUUUGGCGUGAGCGGGGGCCGGUUGGGGAACACGGAGGUAACCUACCGAUAAGACUUGACUAACUCCGGGAAACCGGGGCCCAUGCCGUAUACCAUUUCGAACCGCAUGGUUCGAAACGGAACGAUGGUUCUGUGAUCCCUUAUAGAUCGACCCGCGCCGCAGUAGCUCGUUGGUAAGGUAACGGCUUCCCAAGGCAACGAUGCGUCGCCGACCUGAAAGGGUGGUCGGCCACACUGGAACUGAGACACGCUCAAGACGCCUGCGGUAGGCAGCAGUAGGGAAUCUUCCGCAAUGGGCGAAAGCCUGACGGAGCAACGCCGCGUGAGUGAUGAUGGUCUUCGGAUCGUAAAACCCUGUUAUUAGGAAGGAACAAAUGGGUAAGUAACUGUGCACGGCUUGACGGUACCUAAUCAGAAAGCCACGGCUAACUACGUG
rnacentral:rRNA from 1 species